rnacentral:rRNA from 1 species
AUUGAACGCUGGCGGCAGGCCUAACACAUGCAAGUCGAGCGGAAACGAGUUAUCUGAACCUUCGGGGACGAUAACGGCGUCGAGCGGCGGACGGGUGAGUAAUGCCUAGGAAAUUGCCCUGAUGUGGGGGAUAACCAUUGGAAACGAUGGCUAAUACCGCAUAAUGCCUACGGGCCAAAGAGGGGGACCUUCGGGCCUCGUCGCGUCAGGAUAUGCCUAGGUGGAUUAGCUAGUUGGUGAGGUAAUGGCUCACCAAGGCGACGAUCCCUAGCUGGUCUGAGAGGAUGAUCAGCCACACUGGAACUGAGACACGGUCCAGACUCCUACGGGAGCAGGCAGUGGGGAAUAUGCACAAUGGGCGCAAGCCUGAUGCAGCCAUGCCGCGUGUGUGAAGAAGGCCCUUCGGGUUGUAAAGCACUUUCAGUCGUGAGGAAGGUAGUGUAGUUAAUAGCUGC